UUUUUUGACAGCAGUAUCGUCAAUGAUACAAUUAUUUUGUUGGAGAACACCUAGCAUGUGAUUCCGCAGGAAGCUGUUGGUUUGUGGUUGUCACUUAUAACAGCCUGUCACUUAAAUGUCUGCUGAUAUUAGAUUGUUUUUCACGCAGAUGAAGGGCCAACUGUUUCCCUGUUCCGUUUGCUCUCCAAUACUUGCAGUCUUGAUGAUAGAAUCUAGUAGUAGUCCACUUUACAAAGAACAUGUCGCUCAUGGUUUUGUUUUGGCAUCAGUUCGCAGACCCUAUCUUGUAGAUAUCAAGGUGUGGUUAAUGACUAGCUGAGAAGAUAGAAGAAAGCUUCUUGCAGGAGUAGGAACCCCUUUCACCAAUGUAUCUCAUUAGUAAAACUAACCUGGGAAAACAGCAACUACAACAAAAAAAAAACCAGUAAAAUCCCACAAGCGGGGUGGGAGUAAUAUUGUUCGCGAUUGUAAGAAUUUUUGUGUUAGUAUUAGCUACUUCUUGUUUGUCUUUCAUUCAAGAAAAGGUAGUAGCUUUUAGAUAUGAAGACCGAACUUCAUAUGAUUAUGUAAAGAAAUUUGUAUCAAUCCUGUGCCAUGGAUAGUUGUAAUCCAGAUCAAAUGCCUUUUCUUCUUCUAGAUAAUAGAGGAAGUAGAACUAGAUGGUGUCAAAUUGGAGUGCACGGGUUUGCAAAGAUUGAAGAGAAACCAAAUUUGAGGAUUUCAUAUUCAGUUUUUCCCUUCUGAAUAUGACAAUUGUAAGAGAUAACAAAGGAUGAGUACUUGAUACCAGAGUUUCAUUUUCAUUGUUUACCAGAUUGGAAGUACACUGAACAAACUUACUACAAGAUGGUGUAAUUUUCAAAUUUUUGAUUAUACAAGAAACAUAUUCUUAUCUAAUGCAUUGGAUAUCAUAUUUAGUUAUGAGAAACAUGUUAAUAAUUCGAAUGACGUUUACUCUUUUUAUUUCUGUAUAUUUGUUUCUGUUGGAUAACUUGUCUUAAGUAAAAUAUUAACAAAAUGGUGAAAAUAUGCCACCAUUACUUCACCAAUCUAAAUAAAAAAAACCUUUUGAUUUUCUGACACACAAACACAAAAAGAAAACAAGUUUUACAUUGUCCGGCAAAACCACCUAUUAGUCCUAACAAUCCUAUAUCAUAUCUUUCCACUUUUAUUUGUUCAACAAGCUCUUUUAAAGAAACAGUCCGAAUGGCAUAAGAUUAUUACCCAAAUAUUCAAAAAAUUGUUAACUCCCUAAAUAAGCUUACAAAGUUCUGUUAAUAUACUUAGAUGUAGCAAAAAUUAUGUGCUAAAAUUUGUGGAAAAUCUAUUAACCAAAAGUUUUUGGAAUAGUACCAAUUAAAACUUCCCCAAUAGCAUUGGUAAAAUUUAAGUCAAAAUACCAAGUGAAAAAUAUGUAAUAAAGCAGCAAAACCUGGUCGGCCAGAUUCGAAUCUGCGCGGGCAAAGCCCACAUGAUUUCUAGUCAUGCCCGAUAACUAGGGGUGUUCAUAAAAUUCCGAAAAAUCGAACCAAACCGAAAAUCAAACCAAACCGAUCAGAAAAAUCGAUACUUUUUGGUUUGGUUUGGUUUUAAAUUUUAAUCAGAAAAAAACCGAACCAAACCGACUAUAGGAGUAGCUAUUUCUAAUUUAUUAUUACACCUAUACAUAUGUAUAUUGUUAUACAAAGUUUCAAAAAAUUUAUGGUAAAUGUUAAUAGUUUGCACUUUUAAUAUAGUUCUUUACCUUUACAUUCUAGUUUGAUUGGUAGUUUUCUUUUGUUUAGUGUAAGAAUCCAUUCCGUAUUAAAAAUAACAUAUUUUUAAUUGAGCCCUUAAAUUAUUCAUCACUAUUUGAUUCAAUUAUCAUCAAUAUAUUUUGGUAAAUAAUAGAUUUCUCAAAAGACAAUUGAUUUGAUAGUGUUACAUUGAAAAUAUGGUCGCUGGAAUAUGUGUUUGAUAGUGUAUGUCUUAUAUUUAAGAAAAAACCGAUAAAACCAAAAUAAACCGAAUCGAGAAAAACCGACUUAGUUGGUUUGGUUUGGUUCUAAUGUUUGAAAAACCGACUUAUCUGGUUUGGUUUCUUUUUAGGGAAAAACCGAUCCAAACCGAACCAUGAACACCCCUACCGGCGAUAACCACUCCGGCACGACCACUUAGUGGUAUAGUGGUUACCUACUUGUAUUUGAUUCCUAAAUUCAGCUUAACGUUAAACUUUCUGUACUUCAAAGUCUGAGUAUAUACUUUUAAGUCGUUACAUUUUCAAGAUAUGUAUUGCCGAUUUGCAGUCCCAGUCUUUGCAUUAUUAUUAAAAUUCAUAGAAUCUCGUAUCUCAUUUGAUGGAGUUGUUAUCGCUGGCACACCCUUUUUACACCUCACUAACCCCUCUUUAAAAUAAUAAAGUGAUUUUGUAAAGCUCGAGAGAAUUUUCAAAAUUGAAAGUGACGAAACCAUUUGUGUAAAAUGGGAUUUUCUCAGAGUCGCCAUUGGGCAUAUAAUCUCGGUAUGCCAAGUCACCAUUUAAAACCAAUUUUUCCUUAAAAACACAUUUGACCUUUAAACUAGUUUGCACGAGAGAUUCUAAAUAAGGGGGUUCAUUUGACUCGGGGAGGAGGUGUUAGGCAUUCACCAAGUCCCCUUAAAAAUUACGGUUGCGUACAUGAUCUAGUUGGUUUUUAUAAAUAGUCCGAUUGAGGCAGAAACACAAAAAUAAAAAUAAACACACAAGAAGCUCGAGGUUGUCCCACCUAAUAAAAGAAAAAUUAAAAGAAGAAAAAAGGAAAAGAAAAGACCUAAAAUCCUACGCUAGCCUAUUCUAAUGUUUCGUGUCGCCGCGGCCUCCAUUUACAUUCACUUGGGGGCAUUCCCCUAAUAAAAUAUGAAAAUAUAUAUACAAACUCUUCGGGACAUUUCUCGGAUAAAUUAAUUAACUAAGGGAGCAGCCUCUUACCUCAAACUACAAUAUAAAAUCCUAAAGUUUGCCUACCAAAGUAUUUACGGCUUAAGCAUGCUCCCAUGACUAAUUAAUUAAAUAAAGUAACAAAAUGAUUAAGCCCAGUUAUUAUGCAGGAUCUAUGGUGAAAGUCCAAUUCUAAAGUUUAAUGUCACUUUGAGAUUCACUAAAUAUUUACCCGGCCUAUGAUUCAAUUGGCUCAAACAAUACUGACCAUACAAAUCAAUUCAACGUCACCACACGAAAUGACUUCAGUAAUUAAUUAGGAAAACACCGAGUUCAAACAUCAACUUUUCUUAGCAUUGAAAAUUCAUUUAAGCUCUAAAAUGACGAACAAAACAAAAUAUAAAGCAAAUUGCAAACUCACAUGAAAUUCUAUCAUAAGAUUGCAUUCAUGGAAGACAACACAAAUUCACUCACACAAUAACAAAUAAUGAACAGAUUUGAAGCAUAAGAUUUAGAAACGGACCUCAAUUGAUAUUGUUAAACACAAAAUCCAACAGGAUGGACGAUCUUAGACCGGAUCCUUGCACAACACUUAAAUCGGAACUAACGAACAACAACCUCGACUGGGCAGCAAUCGAACUCCAAAAUUGAGAUUGCAAGCAGCAAACCAACCUCGAAUUUUAACUAAACUCCAUGAUUGAAAACCACAAACGAAAACUGAAAUAUUUUUUUUGUGUAUUUUCGAGUUUGAAGUCAAAUUGAAAUUUGUUCUUUCUUUCCAGUAGAGUCCAGUAAUUUUAAAGCUGGAUAGAACGAGGAGCUGUUUUGUGUUACUGGGGAAGUUCUUCGUUUAAAGUUAUUUUUCUUCUUUGUCCACUGGGCUUUGAUUCAGUAGUAAGAGCGUAAU
rnacentral:lncRNA from 1 species